GCUGGUAUCUAUUACGGUGAGGUCCCACCCGUUCCCAUCCCGAACACGGAAGUUAAGCUCACCAGUGCCGAAAAUACUUGGCGGGAAGCUGCCCGGAAAGAUAGGUCUUUGCCAGCA
rnacentral:rRNA from 1 species